rnacentral:tRNA from 1 species
AUUUAUAUAGUUUAAUAAAACAUUACAUUUUCACUGUAAAAUUAAAACCUAAGUUUUUAUAAAUA